rnacentral:rRNA from 1 species
AGAGAGCGACGGGCGAUGUGUACACACUUCAGAGCUUAUUUCAUAUAAACAUUUUAUUUUUAAUUUACUACUAAAUCCACCUUUAUAAUAAUUGUACAAUUACUAAUCCGUAAUAAAUUAACUUUAUUGUAACCCACUACUCCCAUAUUUAUUGGCUGCACCUUGACCUGAUGUCAUAGUAAAAAACUAAUUAGAUAAUAUUCUUUAAAAAUAAUCUGACAACGGCGGUAUACAAACUGAAAACAAAAACAUGUAAAUUUAAUCGUGGAAUAUCGAUACAAGAGCAGGUUCCUCUAGUAAGAAUGAAGUACCGCCAAAUUCUUUAGGUUUAAAAAUAUCUUUACUACCCAGGCAAUCAAUAAUAAAGAAUAAUAGGGUAUCUAAUCCUAGUUUAAAGCUUUAUUUCAAAAGAUAUAAAAAUUUUUUAUAACUAUUACAAUAUAUAUUUAAAAAUUUCACCCUCAAAUAUACAAUCAAAAAAUUAUUUAAAAAUGAAUUAUACUUAAUUCCACCAAAAAAUUUUAUUUGACCCCAUCGUAUAACC